GACGAACGCUGGCGGCGUGCCUAAUACAUGCAAGUCGAACGCAUUUUCUUUCACCGUAGCUUGCUACACCGAAAGAAAAUGAGUGGCGAACGGGUGAGUAACACGUGGGUAACCUGCCCAUCAGCGGGGGAUAACACUUGGAAACAGUUUCUAAUACCGCAUAAUUCGAUUUACCGCAUGGCAAAUGGAUGUAAGGCGCUUUGGCGUCCCUGAUGGAUGGACCGGGGGUGAAUUAGCUAGUUGGGGGGGUGACCGCCUACCAAGGCUGCGAUGCAUCGCCGACCUGGGAGGGGGGUCGGCCACCCUGGGACUGAGACACGCCCCAGACUCCUACGGGAGGCCGCAGUAGGGGAUCUUCGGCAAGGGACGCAAGUCUGACCGAGCAACGCCGCGGGAUAGAAGAAGGUUUUCGGAUCGUAAAAAUCGGUUGUUAGAGAAGAACAAGGAUGAGAGUGGAAAGUUCAUCCCUUGACGGUAUCUAACCAGAAAGCCCCGGCUGACUACGUG
rnacentral:rRNA from 1 species